GGCGCAGACACAAAGGCAAACAAUCCCAAACACAGGCUUUGCCCUCCUUGUACGUUGAGACAAAGGAAGCAGAAAUGAGCCUGGGAUCACAGUCUGCGCUGAGCAGCAUGGAGCAAACAGGGCGUCCCCUUCUCAGUGACAGAGGGACUUGGGCUGACCAACCGUCUUGGCUUCCCUGGGACUGUCCCAGCUCAGCACUGAAAAUCUCAUGCCGAUGAAAACCCCCGCAGGCCUGGGCAGAUGGGAACCUUGGUCACUCUUGCAGAAACUUGAGUCAGAAAUAAAGCAACUUCUCCCAGGCCAUGUGGAAAAGCCAUGUGUGAACCAGAGGAACAAGUACAACAGAGCCGCUGAGUACACCCCAACACAGAGGAGCCAGCGCUCACCGAGAGAUUUGCCAAGUGGAGUCCUUUUGAGACAUCCAAAUUUCACUGUCUUCAACUUAUUAAUGUGAAACAAAGAAUAACGUAUAUGUGUGUGUAAACACGAAUAGUAACAGCUUAUAUUUGUAAACAAUGUGCCGUGCGCCCAGCACUACAUUAAGCAGUCUCCAUGCAGCACCUCCAUUAAUCCUGGGGAGCACUGUACCCACUUCAAGAGGCCUUUAGAAGAGCAAGUAACAAAAACUGGUGGAAAAAAAGCACACAUUCAACAGGAAGCAACAUCUAGAGACCUUUCUGCCUUCCAGGAUACAAAAAGAAAACAGUUCAUAAACAACUUACAUCUAAACCAGUAAUGUUGUCUCCCUGGCUCAUAGGAGCUGAAGAAGAAUUCCAGUUACUGUAGUAAGAAUAUAAGGAUGUGGACUGGUUUGAGGAUGCUUGAGGCAUGACUAUAGCAAGUACUGCGCAUACAUAUGUGGACAUCGAAUUCCAUGAUCUACACACAGAUGACACCAAAAUCGGAACAGCAAUGUCCACCCUUCUCCCGAGCCCUAGGUCGGUGCCUCUGUCCACCUGUGUCUCCUGAAACUUCAACACAGACUUCAAAUGGAGUGGCAGAAAACCAGAUUCCUUAGGGAAAGGAAGGUCUCCCAGACGGCAGGAGCGGCAGGCCUUAGGGGCAGCCGCAGGGGCUCGGGAGUCUGAACAUACCCGGUUUGAAUUCAGACUCUGGCACGCCCCAUGCGAUCAUAACAUAGUGCUGCACGUCUCAAGCCACCUAUAAAAACGGGGACAAUAACAAUAUCUGCCUCGGGGUUAAUGGAUUAGAUGUGUCGGUCCAUAGACGUUGCUGGCCACAUAGUUAAGUGGUGCGUUCACUCACUGGGCAUUGAUGGAGCGCCUACUACGUGCCAGGCCUGUUUUACGCGCCGGGGGCCCAGAGGCGCCCAGGUCAGACAAAGUGUAAACGAUUCCGACCAGAGCCCUUCAAUCUGCAUUCCGCUUCGCAGGAAACUCUCCUCCUUUUAUGAUUUUCAGCCGGACUGCCUUCCCUGUUGUUAGUUUGUAACUUUCGCUCCGGCCCCCGCAGCCUCGCGCCUGCCUUCCCUCCACUGUCCUCAGCCAAGGUGUAGUAAAGCGUCUCCGAACGCGGCGCGACCCUCGCCCACGCCCGCUCGCGGGGGGA
rnacentral:lncRNA from 1 species